AUUGAACGCUGGCGGCAGGCUUAACACAUGCAAGUCGAGCGGAGAGAGGUAGCUUGCUACUGAUCUUAGCGGCGGACGGGUGAGUAAUGCUUAGGAAUCUGCCUAUUAGUGGGGGACAACAUUUCGAAAGGAAUGCUAAUACCGCAUACGUCCUACGGGAGAAAGCAGGGGAUCUUCGGACCCUGCGCUAAUAGAUGAGCCUAAGUCGGAUUAGCUAGUUGGGGGGGUAAAGGCCUACCAAGGCGACGAUCUGUAGCGGGUCUGAGAGGAUGAUCCGCCACACUGGGACCGAGACACGGCCCAGACUCCUACGGGAGGCAGCAGUGGGGAAUAUUGGACAAUGGGCGGAAGCCUGAUCCAGCCAUGCCGCGUGUGUGAAGAAGGCCUUAUGGUUGUAAAGCACUUUAAGCGAGGAGGAGGCUACUUUAGUUAAUACCUAGAGAUAGUGGACGUUACUCGCAGAAUAAGCACCGGCUAACUCUGUGCCAGCCGCCGCCGUAAAAC
rnacentral:rRNA from 1 species